rnacentral:rRNA from 1 species
UACGUGAGGGUGCGAGCGUUAAUCGGAAUCACUGGGCGUAAAGGGUGCGUAGGCGGGUCUUUAAGUCAGGGGUGAAAUCCUGGAGCUCAACUCCAGAACUGCCUUUGAUACUGAAGAUCUUGAGUUCGGGAGAGGUGAGUGGAACUGCGAGUGUAGAGGUGAAAUUCGUAGAUAUUCGCAAGAACACCAGUGGCGAAGGCGGCCUUCUGGACAGUGACUGACGCUGAGACGCGAAAGCGUGGGGAGCAAACAGG